GAUCACCGGGAAUCCAACU
rnacentral:misc_RNA from 1 species